ensembl:misc_RNA Metazoa_SRP Metazoan signal recognition particle RNA
GCUGGGUGUGGUGGCGCAUGCCUGUAGUCCCAGCUACUAGGGAGGCUGAGACAGGAGAAUCACUUGAACCCAGGAAGUGGAGGCUGCAGUGAGCUGAGAUCAUGCCACUGCACUCCAGCCUGAGCAACAGAGUGAGACUCUGUCUUUA